GUGAAUCAUCAAAUUUUUGAACGCAAAUUGCACUCCCUGGUAUUCCGGGGAGCAUGCCUGUUUGAGGGUCGUUAGAAGAAAAAUCGAAGCAUUGCUCUUUUUUUGUGGGUGAUCGCGGCGGAAAGGAGCCGGCUUUGAAAUGUUAAUUCAUGUCAAAGUGCCUUAAAAUUCUUCUAUCCGGCACGAUUAAAGCGUAUUUAAGAUCAACUUUGAUU
rnacentral:misc_RNA from 1 species